UGUGUGUGUGUGUGUGUAUAUCAGGUGUCAUGUGAUGACGGCGAGAGGUCAGCUGAUCGUAAAGUGACGUUUGAUGUGACCGAAUCAGAGAUGAGCAGUGUUUACAGCCCAGAGGGAACAGUUCCAGUGAAGGUGCAGCAGUUGGCCGACUCUCUGCAGCUGAUCUCAGGUCAGCUCAACUCUGUGUUAGGAGCUCUGAGUUCAGUAACACACAAACAAGCCCCGCCUCCUCUGACCACACCCCUGCUGCCCCGCCCCUCGUGGGCAUGGCCUACACACCCCUCCUCAGCCCUGUCAAAUGGACUCGCUCACAGACCCACAGAAUCAAUGCAGAACCGUUGGAGCGGCCUGAGCACAGAAACCAGCAGAACACACACAACCUUCUCAGGAUACACACCACUAAGGUGACAAACACACACACACACAGAAAGAUCAUAC